rnacentral:rRNA from 1 species
UACGAAGGGGCUAGCGUUGCUCGGAAUUACUGGGCGUAAAGAGCGCGCAGGCGGCUUGGUAAGUCGGAUGUGAAAUCCCGAGGCUCAACCUCGGGUCUGCAUCCGAUACUGCCCGGCUAGAGGUAGGUAGGGGAGAUCGGAAUUCCUGGUGUAGCGGUGAAAUGACGCAGAUAUCAGGAGGAACGACCGGUGGCGAAGGCGGGAUCUCUGGGCCUACCUGACGCUGGAGGAGCGAAAGCAUGGGGAGCGAACAGG